ACCUGAAACCGUGUACGUACAAGCAGUGGGAGCCCCACCACUAAGCCAGUGGUGAACUCCACAUACGCAUCCUUUGCUGAGGAUACGGUUAACGGAGCGAAAGCGACGUUCAACCGCAAAAGAAGCAGAGGGGGCUUAGUGGUGGGGUGACUGCGUACCUUUUGUAUAAUGGGUCAGCGACUUAUAUUCUGUAGCAAGGUUAACCGUAUAGGGGAGCCGGAGGGAAACCGAGUCUUAAUUGGGCGUUAAGUUGCAGGGUAUAGACCCGAAACCCGGUGAUCUAGCCAUGGGCAGGUUGAAGGUUGGGUAACACUAACUGGAGGACCGAACCGACUAAUGUUGAAAAAUUAGCGGAUGACCUGUGGCUGGGGGUGAAAGGCCAAUCAAACCGGGAGAUAGCUGGUUCUCCCCGAAAGCUAUUUAGGUAGCGCCUCGUGAAUUCAUCUCCGGGGGUAGAGCACUGUUUCGGCUAGGGGGCCAUCCCGGCUUACCAACCCGAUGCAAACUGCGAAUACCGGAGAAUGUUAUCACGGGAGACACACGGCGGGUGCUAACGUCCGUCGUGAAGAGGGAAACAACCCAGACCGCCAGCUAAGGUCCCAAAGUCAUGGUUAAGUGGGAAACGAUGUGGGAAGGCCCAGACAGCCAGGAUGUUGGCUUAGAAGCAGCCAUCAUUUAAAGAAAGCGUAAUAGCUCACUGGUCGAGUCGGCCUGCGCGGAAGAUGUAACGGGGCUAAACCAUGCACCGAAGCUGCGGCAGCGACGCU
rnacentral:rRNA from 1 species